GUGAUUCGUCACACUAUCAUUAACUGAAUCCAUAGGUUAAUGAGGCGAACCGGGGGAACUGAAACAUCUAAGUACCCCGAGGAAAAGAAAUCAACCGAGAUUCCCCCAGUAGCGGCGAGCGAACGGGGAGGAGCCCAGAGCCUGAAUCAGCAUGUGUGUUAGUGGAAGCGUCUGGAAAGGCGCGCGAUACAGGGUGACAGCCCCGUACACAAAAGCGCAUGUGCUGUGAGCUCGAUGAGUAGGGCGGGACACGUGGUAUCCUGUCUGAAUAUGGGGGGACCAUCCUCCAAGGCUAAAUACUCCUGACUGACCGAUAGUGAACCAGUACCGUGAGGGAAAGGCGAAAAGAACCCCGGCGAGGGGAGUGAAAAAGAACCUGAAACCGUGUACGUACAAGCAGUGGGAGCCCCACCACUAAGCCAGUGGUGAACUCCACAUCCGCAUCCUUUGCUGAGGAUACGGUUAACGGAGCGAAAGCGACGUUCAACCGCAAAACAAGCAGAGGGGGCUUAGUGGUGGGGUGACUGCGUACCUUUUGUAUAAUGGGUCAGCGACUUAUAUUCUGUAGCAAGGUUAACCGAAUAGGGGAGCCGGAGGGAAACCGAGUCUUAAUUGGGCGUUAAGUUGCAGGGUAUAGACCCGAAACCCGGUGAUCUAGCCAUGGGCAGGUUGAAGGUUGGGUAACACUAACUGGAGGACCGAACCGACUAAUGUUGAAAAAUUAGCGGAUGACCUGUGGCUGGGGGUGAAAGGCCAAUCAAACCGGGAGAUAGCUGGUUCUCCCCGAAAGCUAUUUAGGUAGCGCCUCGUGAAUUCAUCUCCGGGGGUAGAGCACUGUUUCGGCUAGGGGGCCAUCCCGGCUUACCAACCCGAUGCAAACUGCGAAUACCGGAGAAUGUUAUCACGGGAGACACACGGCGGGUGCUAACGUCCGUCGUGAAGAGGGAAACAACCCAGACCGCCAGCUAAGGUCCCAAAGUCAUGGUUAAGUGGGAAACGAUGUGGGAAGGCCCAGACAGCCAGGAUGUUGGCUUAGAAGCAGCCAUCAUUUAAAGAAAGCGUAAUAGCUCACUGGUCGAGUCGGCCUGCGCGGAAGAUGUAACGGGGCUAAACCAUGCACCGAAGCUGCGGCAGCGAACGUAUCACCCAAGACAACUUUACGGAGUUGACGAUUGACGGAGCGAAGCGACGUCAAAGCGUUCAUUAAAGUCGAGUUGGCUUAGGGAUACGUUCGUUGGGUAGGGGAGCGUUCUGUAAGCCUGUGAAGGUGUGUCGUGAGGCAUGCUGGAGGUAUCAGAAGUGCGAAUGCUGACAUAAGUAACGAUAAAGCGGGUGAAAAGCCCGCUCGCCGGAAGACCAAGGGUUCCUGUCCAACGUUAAUCGGGGCAGGGUGAGUCGACCCCUAAGGCGAGGCCGAAAGGCGUAGUCGAUGGGAAACGGGUUAAUAUUCCCGUACUUGGUGUUACUGCGAAGGGGGGACGGAGAAGGCUAUGUUGGCCGGGCGACGGUUGUCCCGGUUUAAGCGUGUAGGUGUGUGUUCCAGGUAAAUCCGGUU
rnacentral:rRNA from 1 species